rnacentral:rRNA from 1 species
UACGUAGGGUGCAAGCGUUAAUCGGAAUUACUGGGCGUAAAGCGUGCGCAGGCGGUUGUGCAAGACAGAUGUGAAAUCCCCGGGCUUAACCUGGGAAUUGCAUUUGUGACUGCACGGCUAGAGUGUGUCAGAGGGGGGUAGAAUUCCACGUGUAGCAGUGAAAUGCGUAGAUAUGUGGAGGAAUACCGAUGGCGAAGGCAGCCCCCUGGGAUAACACUGACGCUCAUGCACGAAAGCGUGGGGAGCAAACAGGAUUAGAUACCCUCGUAGUCC